rnacentral:rRNA from 7 species
CGCGGUGGUCCCACCUGACCCCAUGCCGAACUCAGAAGUGAAACGCCGUAGCGCCGAUGGUAGUGUGGGGUCUCCCCAUGUGAGAGUAGGGAACUGCCAGGCA